GUGUGCGCCUGCCUGCCUGCCACUGACGCCGGGGUUUGCAGUGAAGACUUUCUGAUGAAGAGGAGAAUGAAGACUGACAAACUGGGCUGAGGCACAAUGUUGAGAAACAGUUUCCACCACAGGACUAUCGACUUGGUUUCCACCACAUUCACCUAUCCUGACAAGUGGCGGGGAAACCACCCCAGCACAGCUCAUCUGUUGAGAUGUUGCUGAGUCAGUUUGGGGUCAUGACAUCAUCAUCAUGAGAUGGGGAGCCUGGUGAACAGUGACCGCAGGCGGCGACAGAAGAGGUGGUGCUGUGUGUUGCGUUUUGCAGCUGCUGGUAGUUGGCAAAAAAAAAAAAAAAAAAAAUUGUCAACUCCCUUUUUUUUUUUCUUGGCAAAAAAAACCCCCCAAAAAACAAUCUGUCAACUCCACAGAAUUUUUUUCUUUGCCAAGAACCUCAGGGAAUCCUUUGCUCCAGUGUUGAAUGGAAGAACAAAUUCUCAAGAGAUUUGAAGAGGCAUGGAAGAGCUACAAACUGGCCUGAUUGGACUCAUUUCAGUGACUCUGUAGCAAGUGGAGCUGAAAGGAUCAAGUCCAGCUGUGAUACAUGUGUGUGAAUAAAUGUGAAAAAAAGAAUGGAUAGUAUUUAAAAACUUCAAAUCUUUAACGAUCAUUAAACUUGUUCGAAAAUAUUUAAAUAAUUUGAGGAAAAUUAGAUUCUAAUAAUAGGAUCCCCAACAAAAAUAAUUAAAACAUAAAGCAUGUUAACUACAUCCCCAGGUAUCAUACCUUUCAUAUAAGCCGUAAUAAAAAUGUAAUUAAUUAAUUAUAUUUGAAGAGUUGUGACUGGGUUUCAUAUGAUCACUAAACCGCUGGCUGAGUGAGACUGGUGACUAACUCUGCAAUGUUUUAAAACUAUCACCAGGUCAUAAUUUAUGGGUUGAGUGAGUUUCAUGACCCUCAGGCUGUUGUCACACAUUAAAACCGCAUUGUUAAAUUUCAAACAUAGUCAGUGUAAACAUGCAUCAUUCCUGAAAAAUUUACUUUGCCCAAGCAUAUUUUCCCUUCGGAAUUGUGAAUUUCUCUUUGUCCUGCAAUGAACCAAUUUUUCUGUCUAACAAAAAAAACAAAAAAAAACAAAACAGGUUUUGAGCCUGAAAAAAGAGAAGUUUUGUGAAAUUUGUCUUCUAGCACUCUGUAAGCAGGAACAGUUAAUGAUUUUAACAGGGUGAGAGAACCAGCAUGAAAUACUGCAGUGGUCACUGAGAACAUGUCCACACUAAUGCAAAUCUGUAAACAGCUUCUUUCAUUUCAUCAAGCACAGAGAACUGCACUUGUCAAAAGUCCUGACCUGUGGUGUCACAUUUUAUGGUCAGAUGAUCCAUUUUAGAGACUUGCUGUUCUGUAAACGACACAAAUCUCCAAUAUGAUCAGCAAACUAUUUUUUAGGAAACAAUUGUGUGUGUGGAUAAGACACACUUGGCACACUGAUGUCAUUUUCAUGACUUAAUCUGCAUUAGUGUGAUCAUGACCUGAGACAGAAAGGAAGGGGAAAACAGGUGAACUCAUGUGAACACGUGUCCAUAAUCUAUAAUACAUACAUUGUAUUUAACAGAUAUCUGAAAUGUGACAAGGGGCACCAACCUAACUGCUUUUUUGUCACAACCCACAGACAUUGGUUUGCACUGUAUUUUCUAACCUUAUCAUUUUUUUUUUUAUGUAAAAUCUUAACAUGAAAGAAACUACAAGGUGUUGGUUAGAGCCCCUUGUCAACUUCGAGGUGUGUACAGUUGACGUUUAUUGGGAGGGGGACUUCAAGUGACCCAUGUGGGAACAGUCUUGCCAGUGGCCUCCAGGUAAUUUAAAGGCCCCUGAUUUAGGAGCGUGUCUGUGUUUCUUUUUAAGAUAGAUAGAUAUUUUGCUGUUCUCACAGCAGCUUGUAGACAGCCUCAAGAAAGCAGAGAGAUCGAGGGUGAGAGAAAAAGAUGCUGAACCAAAACAAGGAAGGCAGUCAGACUGUGUGUGUGUGUGUGUGUGUGUGUGUGUGUGUGUGUGUGUGUGUGUGUGUGUGUGUGUGUGUGUGUGUGUGUGUGUGUGUGUGUGUGUGUGUGUUAGUGUUUGAAAGACAGUGUGUGAACUAGGAAGAGAGGAACAAAGAUCGAAAAGAAAAGAGUGCGUGUGAAAGAGAGCAAGACGGGGUGAGUUAGGGAGAGAGAGAAAGAGGAGGGGAGAUAUAUUUGUCUGCCUAUAAAGCACAGCACGCUUCUCAUUUUGAUUUCUGGACCUGUCGAGUAAAGUUUAGCAGAAGUGAAUCCUGACUGUAAGAAAUGAUCACAAUACACCAAUAAAA